rnacentral:rRNA from 12 species
ACUGAUACAAAACAAGCUACAGAGAGUGCCUGAUCCUGUCUGAUCUCGGAAGCUAAGCACAGUCAUUCCUGGUCAGUACUUUGAUCAGAAACCACCUGGGAAGUCCAGCGGGCUGUGUCAGGA